UAUUGUUGCUUUGAGCCCCACAAGGCUGUACGUUUGUUUAUUUAUUUUUGUUUCGUUGCUAGUUCACAUUUAAAUUAAUAUGAUGAACCUAAACCACGCUGCGUCUUGGUCUACUCAUUUUGACAAGCGUUACAAUAUAUUCACUACUUUACUAAGCCUUUUCUGCCAUCACUCCCAGCCUGUCUUCAAAAUACUACAGAUGUGUUGAACAAAAUUAAGGUUUUUAACCACGACCGUAUCUUUAAACAUGUCAAAGGAUGUGCCAUAGGAGGUUGCUACAGCCUUUCCUAUGCUGGUUUGGUCGUGAGAGGUCCCUUUGCUGUCAUCUAGUGGACAUAUUGCUCUAUUGCCCUCAGCUAUGUUUAGACUGAUGUGGUUCAUGUUUGCUGUGAUCUAGUGUACUAUAAAAUAGAUGGCUUUAAUUAUUACCACUUUGCCCAGUCAAAUUCAAGGGUUGAUUGGAGAAAGCUGUUGGAAAGAGGACAUUUUAUUAUAUCUUUGUACUCUCUGACAAAGGUCAUGCAGCCGAAACGCGUCAGGGUUUUUAAUCUUUGUUACCAUUGAACAUGCCAUACAAAUAAA